rnacentral:pre_miRNA from 15 species
UUUCCUUGCUCUCAAGGAGCUCACAGUCUAAUGGGGAGAAAGUCUACAGACAAUCAUUAUAUUGUAAGCUCCUGGAGGACAAGGAAC